GGGUGGUUAGCACAGUGGUUUAGAGCUCAGGCCUUGUGACCAGAAGGUCCCGGGUUCGAAUCCCGCCAGAGGCA
rnacentral:tRNA from 1 species